GCCCACGUAGCUCAGUUGGUAGAGCAGCGGUUUCGUAAACCGCAGGUCAGGGGUUCAAAUCCCUUCGUGGGCU
rnacentral:tRNA from 1 species